GGGCCUCGAGUUUGACACAUGUGCUUUACAGUGUUACCGGCCGCCUGCAGCACUUUCAUUUUUAUAGGAAUGCUGACAUCAGGUUGAAUCAUCAGUAUAAAUGUGGUGGUAAACAGAUUUAAAAUUGUUCAUUGAUUGGUCUUUUUUUAGGCAUUCCAGCAACAGACACAAGAGCUUGUAGCACUGGAAACUAUAGUGCUGCAAACCCUGGGUUUUGAAAUAACAGUUGAUCAUCCACACACUGAUGUUGUGAGGUGUUCCCAGCUAGUGCGAGCAAGCAAGGAUUUGGCACAGACUUCCUAUUUCAUGGCUACCAACAGGUUAUUAUCCUGUUCCCAUUAUUGCACUGUAAUGGCACACUAUAGCUUCCUGUCCUGCAGGGCCCCCCUUCCUGUGUCCAACGCCCUUUUUGCGCCUGGAUUUCGGGAAACCCCAAUGUGGGGAAGUACCUGUCCGGGCUGCUGUGUGCGGUGUAUUGUACAAGGGCUCCGUGUUGGCACAUAGGGGUUGAAUGCACAAUGUGGAGUGUAGUGGUGCUGUCUACCUCUCAAGGUUGUUUGGUACGGAGUGCAUAUGUCUGAAAGAGAACUCUCAAAUGGUAGCCUGAAUAUAGAUUGCCACUAAAGAUUCUUAAACUUAUAGAGUGCUUUGGUAAGUAUAGUUUUACAGUUCUUUAUUCAUUUUUUGUGCACAUUUUUUUACCCUACCCUAAAAGAGCUAACACCAAACUAUACUGCAAACUGGUUUUGUAUGAGCAGAUCUAACAAGGUGUGCAGUGCAUGUGUAACGUAGUACAUUUGGAUAUUCUUGGUGACUAACGAGGGGUUAGCUGCACUGCGUUUCCCCCCCCAGAUGAGGGUAAAAAGAAUCCUUUAAUCUGAGUUCAUGCACAAAUAGUGAAGUCUAGACUAAUUGGCAGUGAUUGUAAUAACCCCAAAUUGUUGAUAAUGACAUUAUUAAAGUAAGGGAUGCACGAUAGUUAUCGGUAAUUGGGGGGACAUCGUAUUGUGUAUUAUUAACGACAACGGAAUUAUGGCCAAUUAUACAAAGCAAACGAGAUCUACG